GAAGUUUGGUUUAUGAUGGUUAUGGAGGAAACCAGGGAAAUUUAAGGUGAUUCAUUUUGUGUAGUGUUUGGGGUUUAAGGAUGAAGAGUUGGUGUAUAGAAUAUUGGUGGUCGGAUAAGAUAACACAGAGGUGUUGUUUAGUGGUGGUUGUAGUAGGAAGAAGAGGUAUGAGGAAUAUGUUUUUUUAUGGGAGUGAAAUGGGUGAGAUGAAAGGUAGUUUUGUGAGUCCUUUUUUAGUGAAGGGAGUGAGUGUGUGCUUGGAGAUAGAAGGAUUAUGGUUUGAAGAAGGUGAUAUAUGUGGGUGUUUAUGGUAGGAGAUGAAGAUGGAGUUGGGUGAGAGAGGAAGAGGAAUAAUGAAGAUUCAACAGUAAUAAUCCUUCUUUCUAAGUUCACUCUUUUUUUUUUCAAUGAAAGUCACUAACUCCCCUCUUAUUGUUUUGAUUUCAAAAAUUGGAGAGAGGAGAGAACUAAUUCGGGGGCGGCUGCUA
rnacentral:lncRNA from 1 species